UUGCUGGUCAAGAGCGGACGCUACA
rnacentral:misc_RNA from 1 species